rnacentral:rRNA from 1 species
GUCUAUGGCCAUACAACCCUGAACAUGCCUGAUCUCAUUUGAUCUCACAAGCUAAGCAGGGUCGGGCCUGAUUAGUACUUGGAUGGUGGGAGAAAUCUCCAUACUAUUUCCC